ACUCAACUAGUAAAAGUAAAGAAAAAUGACUUUAAGAAUAGUUAGUCAGUCAAUCUGAGAGAAAAAAUAAUAAAAAAAAAACUUUCUGAAAGUAUUCUUAAGGGCAGUCUAUCAAAAACUUUGAUAAAUGAUGAAACUGGCACUCAUCAGGAACGGAAGACCGAGAGUUACCUCUGUUCCUCAGGAACCUUCUGUAGCCUCAGAAAGCGCAUGUUAACACCACCCCAGAUAAAAUCACAGUCCUCAGCACAUACAUAAUUUGUGAAAACCACUGAACACAAGUUGUAGUCUUAAAAACUUUUGAAAUAAACUUAAAACACCUUUUUGUCUAAAAAAAAACAAAAAAAACUCCAAAUUAUGAAACUUUGAUGUGAUUUUGCAAAUAAAUCACUCAUAAUAUUUAAUGUAUAGUGAAUUGACUAGGGGACGACCAAACAACAAAUGUCAAUCUGUCUUUGUGUCACUUCGAGGACAUCUAACACAACCCCAACCCACUGCAUCAUAGUAUAUAUUGGAAAUUUUAGCGUACAACAUAUUAGUGAGUGAAAUAUAUAGGGAAUAAAAUGUGCUAUUGAGCUCAUGGCUUAGAUUCUUCUGCAAAUCAUUUACAGUACAUAUUUCCACCACAAGGAUACAUACCAAACACAUACCCCAAACAAGUGGUGCAACAUUGGAUCCCGUCCCAACCCUUAAUCGUACACGGACCUUUUGAGUUUGCGAGUGCAAAUUCCUACAGAUUUGCAAUUCUUAUCCACCCACCCACUCACCCACUCGCUCAUGCAUCCUUAACCAGGCCUUGUAAACGGUUUAUCUGAGCAGGAAAGGCCUGGCUUUGCGAGCUGGCAUUGUGAGGCUUGUCUGUUUUAAAUUGCAGGCAGAUGACGCCGGUGUGAGGGGGGUCUCUGUGCUUUUAUAAGACACUUAGAGAGCGGCUCCCAGACAUGGCGCGGUGGAUCCUGCUUAGUAAAUGGCAUUUAUUCAGCCGGUUAGUCUGGGAAAACAUAUGGUGCCAUUUGGAGCCGCAGACUGCAGCAUGCUGUUCUUCUUUAAUUAGAGAACUGCAGCCAGUGUGGGCCUCCGUUAGCACUCUGUCAACUGCCCUUGCACCAUACCCAACUGAGGGGUGACACACAAACACACAUAAACACACAUAAACGUGCACAUAAACACUGUUUGGACAAACACAGACACACACCUGUACAAACUCAUGAGGUUAUAAAAACAAAUAUGGCACACACAAAUGCGUAUUAUAUACCAGGGUUCAUAUUCCCGUGAGUCCUUAAAAAGUCUUAAAAUGUCUUAAAUUAAAAUACAGGUAAUUAAGGUCUUAAAUUGCCUUAAAUUUACUGUAAAUUUGCUGUAGGUAUUAAAUUUGUGUUUAAUGUCGAUGGGAAAGCACAAACUAACUUUAGCAGAGAGCUAGCUAAUGUUACUGGGUAGAGAACUAAAGUUAACCGAAAGCUAGCCAACAUUAGGGGCAUGCUAGCUAAUGUUACAGACGAGAGAACUAAGGUUAACGGAGAGCUAGUUAACAUUAGCAGCAAGCUAGCUAACAUUACCAUUGAGAAAACUAAGAUAAUGGAAAGCUAGCUAACAUUAGUUGUGAGUUAGCUAAUGUUACCAUUGAGAAAACUAAGGUUAACAGAGAGCUAGCUAAUGUUACCGACGAAAGAACUAAGGUUAAUAGAGAGCUAGCUAGCAUUAGUGGUGAGUUAGUUAACAUUACCAUUGAGAAAACUAAGGUUAACGGAGAGCUAGCUAACAUUAGCGGUGUGUUACCUAACAGUACUGAGGAGAGAGCUAACGUUAAUGUCUUAAAAUAUCUUAAAAAGCAUUUAAUUUGACUUUUAAAAUGGUACAAAAAAUCUGUAUACGUUAUUAUAUUUUCCAUAAAUCGUUGGUUAAUUUUUUCAUUAUUUGAUCCAAAAUGCUAUACUAUACUUUCUUCAAGAUCUGUUAUCUGUAUUUCAUGUGCACUAGGGGUGGGCGAUAUGGCCCUAAAAUAAUAUAACAAUAUUUAUUAUUAUUGUGAUACUCUUGGCGAUAUGACAAAACACUGAAAAAAAUACAAAUAAAAAAAUAUUUCAAGAAUGCACUACAAAAUAAAAAUUAUUGCAUGUGAUAUGAAAUGGCACACCCCCAACUUAGAUAUAUAUAAAAAAAGAGAUCAGAAUUAUAACAGAAGUCAAUGAUCCAGAAUGUCAUGAUACUUAUUAUGCACUCCAAAUAUCUCCAUAUAUCCAGGAUUAAAGUAAAAUAAAUUAUACUGGACAGAGAUAAUCUGUCUCUAGUGGAUAUAUAAUGGGAAAUGAGAACAGUGUGAUUUUUUUU